rnacentral:rRNA from 1 species
UGGGGGAUAUUGCACAAUGGGCGAAAGCCUGAUGCAGCGACGCCGCGUGGGGGAUGAAGGCUUUCGGGUUGUAAACCUCUUUCGCUAUCGAACAAGGCCCGCUUAGGGUGGGUUGAGGGGAGGUGGAGAAGAAGCGCCGGCUAACUACGUGCCAGCAGCCGCGGUAAUACGUAGGGCGCGAGCGUUGUCCGGAAUUAUUGGGCGUAAAGGGCUUGUAGGCGGCUUGUUGCGCCUGCUGUGAAAACGCGGGGCUUAACUUCGCGCGUGCAGUGGGUACGGGCAGGCUUGAGUGUGGUAGGGGUGACUGGAAUUCCAGGUGUAGCGGUGGAAUGCGCAGAUAUCUGGAGGAACACCGAUGGCGAAGGCAGGUCACUGGGCCAUUACUGACGCUGAGGAGCGAAAGCAUGGGUAGCGAACAGA